UACGUAGGGUGCAAGCGUUAAUCGGAUUUACUGGGCGUAAAGCGUGUGUAGGUGGCUUACUAAGUCGAUUGUGAAAGCCCUGGGCUCAACCUGGGAAUUGCAGUCGAUACUGGAAAGCUCGAGUUCGGUAGAGGACGGCGGAAUUCCCGGUGUAGCGGUGAAAUGGGUAGAUAUCGGGAGGAACACCGAUGGCGAAAGCAACCGUCUGGGCCUGAACUGACACUGAGACACGAAAGCGUGGGGAGCAAACAGG
rnacentral:rRNA from 1 species